AAUGAACGUUGGCGGCAGGCUUAACACAUGCAAGUCGAACGAAAAGGUAACUUCGGUUACUGGAUUCGUGGCGGACGGGUGAGUAUAACAUGGAAAUCUACCAAGCAGUGGGGGAUAACAGUUGGAAACGACUGAUAAUACCGCAUACGCCAUAUUGGGAAAACUAGGUGCUGUUUGAUGAGUCCAUGCCGGAUUAGCUAGUUGGGGUAAAGGCCUACCAAGGCGACGAUCUGUAGCUGGUUUGAGAGGAUGAUCAGCCACACUGGGACUGAGACACGGCCCAGACUCCACGGGAGGCAGUGAGGAAUAUGCACAAUGGGCAAAGCCUGAUGCAGCCAUG
rnacentral:rRNA from 1 species